rnacentral:tRNA from 1 species
GUAGUCAUGGCCAAGUGGUUAAGCCAAUGGACUAGAAAUCCAUUGGGGUGUUCCUGUGCAGGUUUGAAUCCUGCCGACUACG